rnacentral:rRNA from 1 species
GACGAACGCUGGCGGCGUGCCUAAUACAUGCAAGUCGAACGAGAGCAACCGGUGCUUGCUCUGGUCAAUCUAGUGGCGGACGGGUGAGUAACACGUGGGUAACCUGCCUAUCAGAGGGGGAUAACAUCCGGAAACGGAUGCUAAAACCGCAUAGGUCUUCGAACCGCAUGGUUUGAAGAGGAAAAGAGGCGCAAGCUUCUGCUGAUGGAUGGACCCGCGGUGCAUUAGCUAGUUGGUGAGGUAACGGCUCACCAAGGCCGUGAUGCAUAGCCGACCUGAGAGGGUGAUCGGCCACAUUGGGACUGAGACACGGCCCAAACUCCUACGGGAGGCAGCAGUAGGGAAUCUUCCGCAAUGGACGCAAGUCUGACGGAGCAACGCCGCGUGAGUGAAGAAGGUGUUCGGAUCGUAAAACUCUGUUGUUAGAGAAGAACAAGUGCUAGAGUAACUGUUAGCGCCUUGACGGUAUCUAACCAGAAAGCCACGGCUAACUACGUG